GGAACAGGGUGUAAAGACUGCUUCGGGUACAGGCAAGCGGGGCUGGGAGGAAGCCUCCGGCCACCACCCGAAGAGCGCUGUCAGCAGGAAUAGGCUGCAAACGCUGCUACUCGGGAUCGCGGAAGGCUCCUCACCAAGAGUAUCAAACAUCUUUUCGCUAUACAAGGAACAGUAGCAGGCGGUCGAUGCUGAGGAACCACUGCCAGGCAGGCUCACGGAAGAACUACACCCUCUUAGCAAACGAGCAAAGCCCUCGACAACAGCCACGCCGGCAGGGAAGGACGUGGGACCUGCAGCUCCACAGGACGGCAGGGAGACCACGUCUCAGCGGCUCACAGACCGGCUCGCAGUACCGGACUCGGCAGGGCGCAGCUAAGGUGAGCCGCGGCUGCACAGCAGCUGACCGCAGGGCCGCGGGACAGCCGGCUGGCACUUGUUCCCCCGAGGAGCACAGCCACAAUCCACCGCAGCCGGCGGGACAGCAGCGCUCACUAGCGGCCGCUCCCGUCCCGGCUCCAGCAACGCUUUCAAGCUGGAGCACUGGGUUAACGGGAGAGACCUUCCCGGACUUGUCCCCUUCUGCUUUCCUCACAACCGCCCCGCUUGUAUGCACGCCACCCAAGUUAUUAUACAGGUAAUCUAAAGCACUGCUUCCUAAGUAGGACGGAGUAAUCAGCUGGAUUUAAUAAUAGAAAACAUACCCCAGCAAGCAUAAAGUCACCAUGUCUCUUCAUAAAGCACCUUUAGACCCAGCAAGCAGUGGAAGGGUACUAGCAGUCAGCCCGACCUCACCAGCCUGCAGUCACCAGGCAGGAGGGAGGGGGCAACAUCAGAAGAGAAUAACUAAAAAGGUUUGUGUUUAACUGAGGCUGGAGCUGCAAUAAAUUCAUCCUAGAUACUGGAAUUUUCAGCACAGCACACAUACCUCCACUGCUACUCAGUCUCAGAAAACCAAACCAAAUUUAGAUGAAUAAAUAGAUGGAUAUCACGAAGACCAAGAAGAAAGAACCUUAGAUCCGAGUCCAAGGUCAGUGAGCUGUGCAGAGCCAGGACCUGCUUGAUGCCUUUACAGUUGAAAAACACCACCACCACACAUACAGGUUCUAAUUAGGCAGCUUUAUAUCUUGCACAUAUUCUGAUUAAUUUUUAAUAGGCUUUAUAGGGGUUUGGUUUCCCUUGAGACAUCACAGAGCUUCUAGCACUUCUCACCCUAGUGAAGCAGGGCACCACUUUCCCAAAGGCUGAAAAUAGCUGAAGCCCUCGCACAACAGCAGCUUCAAUCAGUAUCAGAGCUGUGAUAGGAUGACUCCACUGUGAACUUUAUGUUUAUUUAGAAUGAGUACAAUAUUAAAUACAACAAAAGGCUUUUGCAUGCUUAACCUGCUGCAAUUUUAAGGGAAAUGCUGAACUAUAAAACAGCCAAAAUCAAUUUUCAGUGUUCUCUACCUUCCUCACAUGUCUUGGAUACCCACAACAAUUAAAUAUUGUCUUCUGUGAACAUCACCCAAUCCCACUCAAAUUACUGACUGGAAGAAACUAACCCUGGUGUUCUGUCUUCUGCAUAGGGUAAAAUAAACUAAGAGGUAUAAAUACCCAAGGUUCUGCAAAAGAAUACUGGGAUACUUACAAAAACAUUUCUUCCUUUAAGUAUUUGUUAAAAUAAGUUUCAGAACUUAUUUGUGACUUACAAACAUAAUAAAUGUUACAAACUCUAAGGUAAGUAUGGAUUGCCUUGUGUUUGUAAUGCAAUACAUUGCAAAAAUAGCUGGUAAAGUUGAACACGCCUAUCAAAGACAGUUGAACAGCGGUCCAGAGCUGGAUUACACGUUUGAAGAAACUGCAAAGUCAAAAAGGCACAGGUGGGAACUUAAAACCAGUAAAUAGGUGCAGGCAGCAGCGUAGCAAUUGGACAGAUCAAUACAAUGGGAAAGGCGUUACAACAAGGGUGUGAUGAUGAAAGGACUGGCACAAUAGAAAGGUGCUAUAAGGGAAGGGAAGAAGAUUUCUCACCCAUAUCAGAAGAUUCCAGGUUUGCAGGAGAAAGCUUUCCAGAGAUUUUUCUUUAGUAAAGAGACCCUUCCCCAGGGACAGUCAGCCCUUAAAUGGGGGGGUCUAAGAGAGAUACAGCUAGGCUCCACCCCUUCCUGUCACACAGCUGAAUUGCCUUCACCUGUGCUCCCAGGGCCGACCGGGUCCUUUCCCCAGGUGCUCAAUCAUUGUUCAGAUCGUGACUCAACAGUUCCCAUGCAGCAUGGUAUUCUGCAAACCUGAACAUUUUGUAGGCUCUUAGCCAGUUUCCCAGGUGUCAGCAGGGAACCUGACAAAAAAGAGGCAGCAAGCAUGCCAGCAGAAGUCAGGCACCUAGCAAGAUGAUGUUACUGGAAGGAGACAUUUCUGCGGUUCAGCCUCUGCCUACUACAGUUGUUAAUCAUGGUAUAUCUAUAGCAACAGCUAGUGAUUUCAGUGCUGCAGAAGAGAGGCAAAAGACAGAACAGGUUCUGCAGAAUUAACUGGCUUUAAAAUACUGCUGAGUAAGCAUCAAUGGUACAGGGUUUUGAAUGUCACUUCCCCCCCCCCCUUUUUUUUUUUUAAGUUGUAAAAACAUAUUUAACUUAAGAACUAAUAUACCCAGUUAGAAUUCCCAACCAUAAUGAAAUAAAGGUAUUAGUUUAUCUUUAGCCUUGAUGUUCAGAAUUAAGAAUCAAUGUGUGGUAAAUCCCUUCUUGUACUUUCAGAUAAGUGAAAACACUUCUUAUUCAGACUGAAAAGACCAAGUAAAUGACAAGUGCUCAGUUCAUAUGCUAAACAGUUACACAAAGUUUUAAAAAGACUCAAGAAACAGACAAUAAAAGUGUUUGUACUCAAAUAGAUAUUCCUCAAAAAGAAUUCCAGAAGCAUAUGAAGUUUCUAUCAUUCCACAUAGACAUAUAACGUAUCUAAUUCGAUGAUAAAUAAAUGCAGUAUUUGACAGAUUUUUCAAAGUAGAGAGUUUAAAGUAAGCAGAUUUCCUUCAACAAUUAUUCUCACUGAGAACAUCUAUAUACAAAGAUCCCACUAAUGCUUUUCCCAAAAGCCUUUCUAGUCUAUCAGGGCAAUGCUGGCACACCUCCUUCUCAUAGAGUGCUUGUAAUAGUACAAUAAGCAAAAAGCCAGAAUGCAUCUGUCAAUCACUCAAUAGAACUCUAUUUUGCUAUCAACAGAAGCAAAACAAACAAACAAAAAGUUUUUACUUAACAUUUAAGUGCAUAGAGAACUUUCGAAAGAGGUACUAUAAAAUUUAGAUUACUACCUUAAAAAAAAAAGCAGCAAAACAACAUCUGAGACUUCCAUAUCUACAUGUCAGAGCAUUUCAUAUGUUACUCUAAGUCUCAACACCUUUUGUCAGAUUAUUAAAGUAAUAUGGAAAAAAAGCAACUAAAAAAACCCAAUACACAAAUGGAGAUUAAAUCUCUAGUCCUCAGCUGUGGAGGGUGCAUUGGAAAGCUGAACUGUAAGCAAUCAGAAGAAAUAAAGACACUUGAAUGAGA